AGAGUUUGAUCCUGGCUCAGGACGAACGCUGGCGGCGGGCUUAACACAUGCAAGUCGAAGGAGAAGGCGAGUGCUUGCACUUGCCGGAGACUGGCGCACGGGUGAGUAACGCGUAGACAACCUGCCUAUAACUGGGGGAUAACAUACCGAAAGGUGUGCUAAUACCGCAUAUUGCCAACGCCUCGCAUGAGGGGUUGGUGAAAGACUUCGGUUGGUUAUAGAUGGGUCUGCGUGCCAUUAGUUAGUUGGUGGGGUAAAAGCCUACCAAGGCGAUGAUGGCUAGGGGGUCUGAGAGGAUGAUCCCCCACACUGGGACUGAGACACGGCCCAGACUCCUACGGGAGGCAGCAGUGAGGAAUCUUGCGCAAUGGGGGUAACCCUGACGCAGCCACGCCGCGUGCCGGAAGACGGCCCUAUGGGUUGUAAACGGCUUUUACAUGGGAAGAAAGUGCAGGUUUCGACCAGCAUUGACGGUACCAUUUGAAUAAGCACCGGCUAACUCCGUGCCAGCAGCCGCGGUAAUACGGAGGGUGCAAGCGUUGUCCGGAAUCAUUGGGUGUAAAGGGUGCGUAGGCUGGCGCCUAAGUCUGAGGUGAAAUCUUGCCGCUUAACGGUAAAAUUGCCUUGGAUACUGGGUGUCUUGAAUCUGACAGAGGUCGGUGGAAUUCGUGGUGUAGCGGUGAAAUGCAUAGAUAUCACGAAGAACAUCAGUGGCGAAGGCGGCCGGCUGGGUCAGUAUUGACGCUGAGGCACGAGAGCGUGGGGAGCGAACAGGAUUAGAUACCCUGGUAGUCCACGCUGUAAACGAUGUAUGCUAGUUGUGGGCCUUUCGGGGUCCGUGACGCAGUUAACGCAGUAAGCAUACCACCUGGGGAGUACGUUCGCAAGAAUGAAACUCAAAGGAAUUGACGGGGGCCCGCACAAGCGGUGGAGCAUGUGGCUUAAUUCGAUGCAACGCGAAGAACCUUACCCGGGCUAAAUCUCCGGCGACCGGUCCCGAAACGGACCUUCCCUUCGGGGCGCCGGCGAAGGUGCUGCAUGGCUGUCGUCAGCUCGUGCCGUGAGGUGUUGCCUUAAGUGGCGCAACGAGCGCAACCCCUGUGGUUAGUUACCAGCACGUAAUGGUGGGGACUCUAGCCAGACUGCCUACGCAAGUAGUGAGGAAGGUGGGGACGACGUCAAGUCAUCAUGGCCCUUAUGUCCGGGGCUGCACACGUGCUACAAUGGAUGGUACAGAGGGAAGCCACCCCGCGAGGGGGUGCAGAUCUCGAAAGCCAUUCCCAGUUCGGAUUGGAGUCUGCAACUCGACUCCAUGAAGGUGGAAUCGCUAGUAAUCGCGUAUCAGCAAUGACGCGGUGAAUACGUUCCCGGGCCUUGUACACACCGCCCGUCAAGCGAUGGAAGU
rnacentral:rRNA from 1 species